GCUCCGUAGCCGCCUGCGCCUGCAUCCCCGCGGCCCCUGCGCGAGCGGCAAGGGAUGUCGUCGGGCUGGAGGGUCGCCGCCACUGAGCCUCUUCCGGUGAACCCAGAGCCCUCCCCGCGCCAGCCCCCCGAACCCCCCAGGUACCUGUGGGAUCGCCCUCAGCCGGAUCAGGGCGCGUCGCCGCCAGAAGACAUAGAAGGAGGAGCGGGUAACCAGGCGCCACAAGCGCCCUCAGGCCAGUGUGCGAGCGCAUGGCGCGGGCGGGUCUGUCCAGGAGGUCGCUAAGGCACCCUCAGCUCGCUGCGAUCCGUCUCCGUUGGUCCCUGUGUACACUUGCUGGUAACUGGGCGCCCACUGCCAGUCCUGGGGACAGGACACUCGAGAAUAAACCGAGUGGGAGGGGCCCGGCCGCCCUGGCCUCCACCCCCGAGACGCUCCCAGCGCAAUUGCGCCGGCCUUCCAUCAAUUAUGCAGCCCGCAGCCCGCUACCGGCGCGCCCGGAUGUGCUGUGCAACCUCGGCGCCGAAUCCUCUCCCGCCCCCACCCUCUGGCUAACACAGGUUGGGGAGGGACCUAGCUCCUGGAGCCAGCCAGGUGUGUGUACCCCAUCACCUCCCGGAGGGGUUGCAACUCCCCACAGAGUGUUCUUUCCAUCCGUUGGAUGGGUUCACACAUUUACUUUGAUGUGACAGGUGAAAAGGACCGGAUAGUUCUGCUCCUAUACAUCUUUGGAUGUGCAAAGGUUUCUUCUUACCAGACCGAGGGCGCUAUUCAGUGCCCCCAAGCCCGGUACUUAAAUUAAUGUUUCUCAGAGCUUUCUAUUAGUCGUGCAUACCCUCCCCCUCUGAAGGUUUGGCCAGUUCCCUCCGGAUUAAGAUUUCAGAGUCCCUAGGCCCCACAGUGUGUUUCCCUUUGUUUGCUUGCGGCAACAGCUCUCCUGGCGCCAAAGAGCUCACCAAACAAAAACUAAGUUAAGGGGAUUCUGUGUAAAUGGCAGAAGGCCAUUCAUCUUUGUCAAACAUUGUGGAAUACAAUGUUAUCUCUUACCCACGCGGGGCCGGAGGUUGAAGUUUCUUACUCUCCUAUCAAAUAAAUUGAGAUAGUUCAAAACAAUUGUUUUCCUAUUCAGCGGGAAAGGCGUCUAGGUUAAAACUAGUGAGCCUUAAAUCCGGGGCACUCAGCAAGCCCUACUUAGUAGCCCUUUGUCCCUUAGGAACCUCCACUCAGGUAAAACUGAAGGAAGGAAUUAAAGAAUGAUGUGGUAUGAAGCAGAGCUGGAGUUAAUUAAAAAGAGGGUUUUCUCAGAGUAGAUUUAAAUAUGAGGGCUAAUAACAAUAAGACACAUCCAAGACCAGGUGCAUGGGUUUCAGAGCUGUGUUUUAACAGUAACCAUAAAGACCAUUUUGGUGGCUCCCAAGUUACAACUCAAAGGGGCUGCUAAGAGCCCCUCCCCCCAUCCCUCCUUUUUGUAGGGUGGCUACAGGGGCGCCUUUCGUGGAGUUACAGUCUGAUAAGAUCAAAACAUGGACUGCAAGCGUUCUACCGGAUAGUUAAGACAUUUCCUUUUGUUGUAAAUGGGGUUGCAGGUGAGAUUCCUGGAAAACUGUGGGCUUAUACAUGGAGAAGAAGAAAAGUCAUGUCAUUUACGCUGAGGGCAUUAAACGCGACCCGUAGCAAUUUUUACCUUUUUGUUUGAGGUCUCUAUGAAGAUAAUAGUGUCUCUGUGUAACACAGCAAAUACUAGUUGUGAUGGAAUGCUUGCCUGAGGUGGGGGCAGGUCUAUUAUUAUUAUUAUUAUUAUUAUUAUUAUUAUUAUUAUUAUUAUAUAUGAGUACAUUGUAGCUGUCUUCAGACCACCAGAAGAGGGCAUCAGAUCUCAUUACAGAUGAUUGUGAGCCACCAUGUGGUUGCUGGGAUUUGAACUCAGAACCUCUGGAAGAACAGUCAGUGCUCUUAACCUCUGAGCCAUCUCUCCAGGGGACAGGUCUUUUCUGGAGUUUUUUGUUUGGUGUGUCUUAGACAUAAUUUGGCUGUGUUGCUGAGGCUAGCCCCCAGGCCCUGGAGUCAUGCAGUUCCUCUAUCUCAGCCUCCACGAAUGCAUGCCACAGCAUGCCAAUACAUUGUGUGCGGGUGGGGGUGGGUGUUGCCUGCAUGUAGGUCUGUAUCGCAUGUGUGCCUGGUGCCCAUGGAAGCCAGAGAAGGGCAAUGGAUCCCUAGAACCUGAGUUACAAACAGUGUCAGCCAUCAUGUGGAUGCUGAGAAUCAAACCCUAGUCUUCUCUAGAAGAGUAGUUCUUAACUGCUGAGCCAUCACUACAGUCAUGACCUCUUACUCUUUAAAAGCUAGCCUUGAUAAUUAUAAAUUCAAAUAAGAUUAAAAAAAUAAAGAUUCCCCCCAAAUGACAAGUA
rnacentral:lncRNA from 1 species